UACGUAGGGGGGCAAGCGUUGUCCGGAAUCAUUGGGCGUAAAGCGCGUGUAGGCGGCUAGAUAAGUCUGCUCUGAAAGCCCGGGGCUCAACCCCGGGAGGCGGGUGGAUACUGUCUAGCUCGAGUCCGGAAGAGGAGUGUGGAAUUCCUGGUGUAGCGGUGAAAUGCGCAGAUAUCAGGAGGAACACCAAUGGCGAAGGCAGCACUCUGGGACGUGACUGACGCUGAGACGCGAAAGCGUGGGGAGCAAACAGG
rnacentral:rRNA from 1 species